UACGUAGGGUGCAAGCGUUGUCCGGAAUUAUUGGGCGUAAAGAGCUCGUAGGCGGUUCGUCGCGUCGGCUGUGAAAUCCCGAGGCUCAACCUCGGGUCUGCAGUCGAUACGGGCGGACUGGAGUUCGGCAGGGGAGACUGGAAUUCCUGGUGUAGCGGUGAAAUGCGCAGAUAUCAGGAGGAACACCAGUGGCGAAGGCAGGCUCGCUGGGACGAACAUGC
rnacentral:rRNA from 1 species